GGCGUGUAAGCUAUCUGCCUUGGCCCUGUUGCGCUUCAUUUCGGUAGAACAUUAUCGCACGCGGAUCUCACUUUGCUGUAGUCUCAGACGGACUUUCCGUUCUUGAGGAAUGGAAAGAACAAUAAAGCACGUUACAGACAUUUGAAUUUAUUUGACAACAGCCAUACGUUCCAUAGGAUGGGAUUGCGUUUGCGUAACCUUCUCCGAGCAACUCACUAAACACUGCGCAUCCUGACGGAUUAAGUUUUUACUACUGCAAGUGGGAGCUUUUUGAGAUGCGGCGCGGCGGCCUGCCGCGGGAUGGAUGAGGAGUGGCUGGUGGUGGCCGCGUGUGUCGCCGUGGCGUCGCUCACCGUGCUGGCCGUGGUCGCCUGCUACGUGCGCGUCCUCUCCCAGCUGUGCUGCUCCACGAGGGACGUCCGCUGCAUAGGCUGGUGCUAAAACUGGAAAGCCUUUCCUGAGGAGGGCAUCGGGUGUUGGAAACGUCGAAGCACAACGCCGAGUUGGUGCGGCCAGGAUGGAACCGCCUCACCUCCAGACAACGGUAUCGCAGCCAGUUCGCCGGUUGGAACAACUCUGGACAGGAAGAAGCCCUCCAGCGUUUCGGAAAUGAACUCCAGAUCGAGCGUCCGCAACUAUGCGACGCUUUCGCGGUGCAGUGUGCGUAAUGAGACUGUGGACCCUAUAGAUGGGACUCGUUUCUAAUAGGACGCUCAGUUGUGACGAGUCCUUGUCCGACAGCGCACCUGCAGCAAUGGUGAAAGCAUAAGACGACGGAACUCUACAAGUGCCUAUAUACACGCUCCUUAUGCCGUGUGCUAAAGAAGAACGCGAUAGCAUCUGUGUAUUUAAACGUACAGCAGUAUUAAACACAGAGCUGUCAUGGCGUCAAGUCUGGAAAGAGAGUAUGUAGUUCUUCGUUUGGAACUGCUGCGGUAUAGACCGUGGUAGUGGGCAACACGGAAAGAAGAAAGCUGUGGUACUGUGAAAAGUACUGAAUGAUCAGACGGCAGGAUAGGGGAAUCGAGAAGACUCAUCCGAAAAUACGUAGCCUCAGAGGACGAAUCUUCGUCUCAAAUUAUUUGAGAAUUAGCGACGGUAAUGACCGAUUCGUAGUAAACAUUAGAGUCGCUAUCCUGAUUCCUCGAGACCGAGUCGAGAAAACGAAGUUCAUUUAUGUUAUGGGUAAAAAUCCGUUCACUGUCAGUAUUGAGGUUUCUUAGGUUUUCAUUUCCGAUACCUAUUCCGGAUUGAAAGCUUCAUCAUCGGGCUCUCCACGAUCUACUCGAAGUUUUUCGUCAUGACGUGGUUAAGCAGUCACAGUUGCAUAAUCUAUUUUGUGAGAAUCUGCUUCACUACUUGGAUGAAAUUCGCCACGAGCUACCAACGAAGCAGGUUCAUGGUAUAGACUUUACAACAUCAUGAAGGCAAUCUCGAGUAGACCCUAGAAACAAUCAUGAUUAAGCUUACACUGAGAAAUACGAAGGGGAAAUAAAAAUUUGGAAAACCGAAAUACUGGCAGCAACUAGACUUUUAUUCACAAAAUAUUAAUCUAUCAUUGUGUCAGUGUCGUACGUGAAGAAAUUAUAGAUAAUUAAAAGAAAACUGGAGGCUGUCAGCAUGUUAUUUCCAGCACAACUUCUCCUUAAAGUUCCAAUGGCACGUCUUUACUGUCAUGUGUUAAAGCACCGCAUAUUUACUGCGGCAAUACGUUUGCUCUACACUCGUCAAGGCGCCUUACGGAGAGCGGCGGUGGGUGUUUGGCGCUCUACCAACACUUUCCCGGUUUCCCUGCUCUGACCGCGAAUGACACGCGGGUAGAACGAAUAUUCGUAAGCCUCCAUGUAGUCUCCAAUUUCUCCAGUUGUACAUCCGUGGUCUGUCCGCGACGUAUGAGAAACCAAUACGCUCGUUGUCUCUUCUAAGAAUUUACGCUUUCAGAAUUUCGCAAACUCCUCAGUCAUACGCAACGCCUCUCUUGUAGCAUCUGCGAAAACAAUUGGAUGAACAUUUCCGUGACGCUUUCGCACUUACUUAAUGAUCCCGUGGGCAGCCAUAUCGCUAUUCUCUCAAUCUGCUGUAUUUUCUUUGGCAAACCCGCUGAGGAAAUGAUAGGCAACUAUCGGUGGAAUGACGGUUUUGUAAGCUAUCUCCCUAGUGGGUGGAACACAUUUUGCGAGAUUUCUCUCAAAGAAUCUCAGUCUGGCAGCUGCCUUUCCUGCGAUUGUAGCUAUAAGGUUUGUCUCAGUCAUUGCACACACGUACACAUUUUAAUUAUUGACUAUACUGGUUUCAAAUUCUACGUUAUUAUCAACAAUCUUAUAAAACAAUAAACAGUGGAGAGAAACACAAAUGUAAAGGUUGCAUUAAGAAAGUAAUUAUACAGGUAUGUACAUGGGACAAAUUGAAAUUGGUACUCCAGCUAAUAAAACCUUCUUUGGCGUAGGGUGGUUAAAAUCACACAAAGUUUCGACCGGUCUCUUCUCUGCCAUUGUCAAGCGGUGUUUUCAGGCAUAUUUAUUUCUAUAGCUUCUUUUCUGACGCCAUUCCAAAAGCCCUUCGUCCUCAUAAUGACAGGUGGUUCUUCGGGUAUCGAUUUUCUGAAUCGUAUCCUGCCACGGCUGAUUUUUCAGGACAGCGUACGUGUAAGCACCUCUGUUGUUCCCUCCGGCUUCACGGUGCGUACUGUUUGGUCGACGUAGCAGCAGCAACAUCAUGGUAUCUUCUGGCAGUCAGAACGCGUGGAGUGUAGAUCGUCCGUCACCGGCACCAUGGGCCGUCGUACUUUUGCUGGGGGCCUCAACACUGAUGAAACGUUGUGUCUCUUCAGAAGCCGAGUAAUCUUUCCCGACACUGUUCCACAGAAACACAGGUUUCUUGUUCUCCUCUUGCGUCGUGUUUCCCCAGCGUGUCUGGCCAGAAAUAGUGAGUACUACCUGGCGGUGACUGUAGUCGUUUUCCCACAAGACUUUCCGAAGGUGGCUUAGAUCUAGUGGCAGGUUUUCAGCGACUGAGGUGACUUUAGCCCGGUGGACGAGGGUGAUCUGAACGCCAGAUCCCCAAGAAGAUUUUAUAAAUGGGCAUCGCCGCGAGACUAUGCAUUCGUACAUCGGUAGUGUAAUGUAUCUUGGCGACGGUUGCAUCAGACUAAGGUAGGAGAGAACAUAUCUUGACGACUCGUACUAGAGGACUUAGCAGCAGCAUUCAGCACUCCGUCCUCAGGCCACAAGCGGCCCAUCGGGACCGUCCGACCGCCGGGUCAUCCUCAGAUGAGGAUGCGGAUAGGAGGGGCGUGUGGUCAGCACACCGCUCUCCCGGUCGUUAUGAUGGUUUUCCGUGACCGAAGCCGCUACUAUUCGGUCGAGUAGCUCCUCAAUUGGCAUCACGAGGGCGAGUUCAUCC